UUAAGUUCAGCGGGUAGUCCUACCUGAUUUGAGGUCAAAUGGUCAAAGAGUUGUCCCAAGGGACGAUUAGAAGCGGAGGUCGCCCAUGACUAGGUUGCUUCACCGAGACGGGGCAUUGAUAGUUAUCACGCCAUGCGUCCAGUUAUGCAAAGAGCUUUUACCGGCUAAUGCUUUUGAGGAGAGUCGACCACAAGGGCCGA
rnacentral:misc_RNA from 1 species